UACGAAGGGGGCUAGCGUUGUUCGGAAUUACUGGGCGUAAAGCGCACGUAGGCGGAUAUUUAAGUCAGGGGUGAAAUCCCGGGGCUCAACCCCGGAACGGCCUUUGAUACUGGAUGUCUUGAGUCCGGAAGAGGUGAGUGGAAUUGCGAGUGUAGAGGUGAAAUUCGUAGAUAUUCGCAGGAACACCAGUGGCGAAGGCGGCUCACUGGUCCGGAACUGACGCUGAGGUGCGAAAGCGUGGGGAGCAACAGG
rnacentral:rRNA from 1 species